UACGGAGGGAGCUAGCGUUAUCCGGAAUUACUGGGCGUAAAGGGCUCGUAGGCGGCCAACUAAGUCAGACGUGAAAUCCCUCGGCUUAACCGGGGAACUGCGUCUGAUACUGGAUGGCUUGAGGUUGGGAGAGGGAUGCGGAAUUCCAGGUGUAGCGGUGAAAUGCGUAGAUAUCUGGAGGAACACCGGUGGCGAAGGCGGCAUCCUGGACCAAUUCUGACGCUGAGGAGCGAAAGCCAGGGGAGCAAACGGG
rnacentral:rRNA from 1 species